GAUGAACGCUAGCGGCAGGCUUAACACAUGCAAGUCGAGGGGUAUAGUUCUUCGGAGCUAGAGACCGGCGCACGGGUGCGUAACGCGUAUGCAAUCUACCUUUUGCAGAGGGAUAGCCCAGAGAAAUUUGGAUUAAUACCUCAUGGUAUGUGAGAAUGGCAUCAUUUUCACAUUAAAGUCACAACGGCAAAAGAUGAGCAUGCGUCCCAUUAGCUAGUUGGUAAGGUAACGGCUUACCAAGGCAACGAUGGGUAGGGGUCCUGAGAGGGAGAUCCCCCACACUAGUACUGAGACACGGACCAGACUCCUACGGGAGGCAGCGGUGAGGAAUAUUGGACAAUGGGCGCAAGCCUGAUCCAGCCAUGCCGCGUGCAGGAUGACGGUCCUAUGGAUUGUAAACUGCUUUUGUACAGGAAGAAACACUGGUUCGUGAACCAGCUUGACGGUACUGUAAGAAUAAGGAUCGGCUAACUCCGUGCCAGCAGCCGCCGUAAUAC
rnacentral:rRNA from 1 species